rnacentral:rRNA from 1 species
CAAGNUGAACGCNUGAAGAGAGGAGCGUUGCCUCUUCUUGGAUGAGUUGCGAACGGGUGAGUAACGCGAUAGGUAACCGUGCCUUUGUAGCGGGGGAUAACUAUUGGAAACGAUAGCUAAUACCGCAUAACAAUGGAUGACACAUGUCAUUUAUUUGAAAGGGGCAAUUGCUCCACUACAAGAUGGACCUGCGUUGUAUUAGCUAGUAGGUGAGGUAAUGGCUCACCUAGGCGACGAUACAUAGCCGACCUGAGAGGGUGAUCGGCCACACUGGGACUGAGACACGGCCCAGACUCCUACGGGAGGCAGCAGUAGGGAAUCUUCGGCAAUGGGGGCAACCCUGACCGAGCAACGCCGCGUGAGUGAAGAAGGUUUUCGGAUCGUAAAGCUCUGUUGUAAGUCAAGAACGGGUGUGAGAGUGGAAAGUUCACACUGUGACGGUAGCUUACCAGAAAGGGACGGCUAACUACGUGCCAGCAGCCGCGGUAAUACGUAGGUCCCGAGCGUUGUCCGGAUUUAUUGGGCGUAAAGCGAGCGCAGGCGGUUUGAUAAGUCUGAAGUUAAAGGCUGUGGCCCAACCAUAGUUCGCUUUGGAAACUGUUCAAACUUGAGUGNCAGAAGGGGAGAGUGGAAUUCCAUGUGUAGCGGUGAAAUGCGUAGAUAUAUGGAGGAACCACCCGGUGGCGAAAGGCGGCUCUCCUGGUCUGUAANC